rnacentral:rRNA from 1 species
UACGUAUGGUGCAAGCGUUAUCCGGAUUUACUGGGUGUAAAGGGAGCGCAGGCGGCACGGCAAGCCUGAAGUGAAAGCCCGUGGCUCAACCGCGGAACUGCUUUGGAAACUGUAUAGCUUGAGUACUGGAGAGGCAGGCGGAAUUCCUAGUGUAGCGGUGAAAUGCGUAGAUAUUAGGAGGAACACCAGUGGCGAAGGCGGCCUGCUGGACAGAAACUGACGUUGAGGCUCGAAAGCGUGGGGAGCAAACAGG